ensembl:misc_RNA 7SK 7SK RNA
GGAUGUGAGGGCGAUCUGGCUGCGACAUCUGUCACCCCAUUGAUGGCCAGGGUUGAUUUGGCUGAUCUGGCUGGCUAGGCGGGUGUCCCCUUCCUCCCUCACCGCUCCAUGUGCGUCCCUCCUGAAGCUAUGCGCUCGGUCGAAGAGGACAACCAUCCCUGAUAGAGAAGGACCAGUCAAGGGUAUACGAGUAGCUGCGCUCCCCUGCUAGAACCUCCAAACAAGCUCUCAAGAUCAAAAGCAAGCCAUUUGUUGACUUCUUUGGAGCCUUGCUUCUUCAUCUACUGAAGAAGGCAGUUGAU